rnacentral:rRNA from 1 species
UACAGAGAGUGCAAGCGUUAAUCGGAAUUACUGGGCGUAAAGCGCGCGUAGGCGGAUACUUAAGUCGGGUGUGAAAUCCCCAAGCUUAACUUGGGAAUUGCAUUCGAUACUGGGUAUCUAGAGUAUGGUAGAGGGAAGUGGAAUUUCCGGUGUAGCGGUGAAAUGCGUAGAUAUCGGAAGGAACACCAGUGGCGAAGGCGACUUCCUGGACCAAUACUGACGCUCAGGUGCGAAAGCGUGGGGAGCAAACAGG